UACGUAGGGUGCAAGCGUUAAUCGGAAUUACUGGGCGUAAAGCGUGCGCAGGCGGCUAUGCAAGACAGAUGUGAAAUCCCCCGGCUCAACCGGGGAACGGGCGGGGAUACGACGAGCCUGGAGGGGCGUAGGGGGACCUGGAACUUCCGGUGGAGCGGUGAAAUGCGUUGAGAUCGGAAGGAACGCCCGUGGCGAAAGCGAGGUCCUGGACGCCUACUGACGCUGAGACGCGAAAGCCAGGGGAGCGAACGGG
rnacentral:rRNA from 1 species